rnacentral:rRNA from 1 species
GUUUGGCCUGCCCAGUGAUAAAUUUAACGGCCGCGGUAUUUUGACCGUGCAAAGGUAGCAUAAUCACUAGUUUUUUAAUUGAAAGCUUGAAUGAAAGGUUUGAUGAAAAAAAGACUGUCUCUAUAAAAAUUUGUUAGAAUUUUAUUUUUAAGUUAAAAAGCUUAAAUUUGAAUAGAAGACGAGAAGACCCUAUAGAGUUUUAUAUUUUUAAAGUAAAAAUUUUUAAGGAUUCAAAAAUUUUUUUAUUUGUAGAGAUAUUUUGUUGGGGUGAUAAAAAAAUUAAAUAAACUUUUUUUUAAUUUAUACAUUUAUUUAUGAGUAAAUGAUCCUAGUAUAUAGAUUACAAGAUUAAAUUACCUUAGGGAUAACAGCGUAAUUUUUUUUAGAGUUCUUAUCGAAAGAAAAGAUUGCGACCUCGAUGUUGGAUUAAAAUAAAUUAUUGGUGAAGAAGCUAAUAAAUUAGGUCUGUUCGACCUUUAAAAUUUUACAUGAUCUGAGUUUAAACCGGUGUGAG